CCUACGGGGGGCAGCAGUAAGGAAUAUUGGUCAAUGGAGGCAACUCUGAACCAGCCAUGCCGCGUGGAGGAUGAAGGUCCUCUGGAUUGUAAACUUCUUUUAUAUGGGACGAAAAAAGGCUUUUCUAAGUCGUCUGACGGUACCAUAUGAAUAAGCACCGGCUAACUCCGUGCCAGCAGCCGCGGUCAUACGGAGGGUGCAAGCGUUAUCGGGAUUCACUGGGGCGAAGGGGUGCUGGUGAGGGUGUGGAGAAAUCCCCGAGCUUAACUUGGGAACUGCCAUUGAUACUAUCAGUCUUGAAUACCGUAGAGGUCGGCGGAAUAUGGCAUGUAGCGGUGAAAUGCUUAGAUAUGACAUAGAACACCGAUUGCGAAGGCAGCUGGCUACGCGGAUAUUGACACUGAGGCACGAAAGCGUGGGGAUCAAACAGGAUUAGAUACCCGUGUAGUC
rnacentral:rRNA from 1 species